CAGUCGCCACGGUAAUACGGAGGAUCCAAGCGUUAUCCGGAAUUAUUGGGUUUAAAGGGUCCGUAGGCGGUCUUGUAAGUCAGUGGUGAAAGCCCAUCGCUCAACGGUGGAACGGCCAUUGAUACUGCAGGACUUGAAUUAUUGGGAAGUAACUAGAAUAUGUAGUGUAGCGGUGAAAUGCUUAGAGAUUACAUGGAAUACCAAUUGCGAAGGCAGGUUACUACCAAUUGAUUGACGCUGAUGGACGAAAGCGUGGGUAGCGAACAGGAUUAGAUACCCGAGUAGUCCCUGUCUCUUAUAC
rnacentral:rRNA from 1 species